rnacentral:pre_miRNA from 14 species
AUUUGAAGGUGAAAGACUCCCAGAGUUGGGAGACCCUCACUCAAGUCUCGGGAUGACGCAACCCCCCAAGAACUCACAAGAGACA